GCAUAUCAAUAAGCGGAGGAAAAGAAACCACCGGGGCAUGCCUUAGUACGGCGAGUGAAGCGGCAAAAGCUCAAAUUUGAAAUCUGGCACCUUCGGUGUCCGAGUUGUAAUUUGAAGAAGGUAACUUUGGAGUUGGCUCUUGUCUAUGUUCCUUGGAACAGGACGUCACAGAGGGUGAGAAUCCCGUGCGAUGAGAUGCCCAAUUCUAUGUAAAGUGCUUUCGAAGAGUCGAGUUGUUUGGGAAUGCAGCUCUAAGUGGGUGGUAAAUUCCAUCUAAAGCUAAAUAUUGGCGAGAGACCGAUAGCGAACAAGUACAGUGAUGGAAAGAUGAAAAGAACUUUGAAAAGAGAGUGAAAAAGUACGUGAAAUUGUUGAAAGGGAAGGGCUUGAGAUCAGACUUGGUAUUUUGCGAUCCUUUCCUUCUUGGUUGGGUUCCUCGCAGCUUACUGGGCCAGCAUCGGUUUGGAUGGUAGGAUAAUGACUAAGGAAUGUGGCUCUACUUCGGUGGAGUGUUAUAGCCUUGGUUGAUACUGCCUGUCUAGACCGAGGACUGCGUCUUUGACUAGGAUGCUGGCAUAAUGAUCUUAAGCCACCCGUCUUGAAACACGGACC
rnacentral:rRNA from 2 species